rnacentral:rRNA from 1 species
CCUACGGGAGGCAGCAGUAGGGAAUAUUGCUCAAUGGGGGAAACCCUGAAGCAGCAACGCCGCGUGGAGGAUGAAGGUUUUCGGAUUGUAAACUCCUUUUGUUAGAGAAGAUAAUGACGGUAUCUAACGAAUAAGCACCGGCUAACUCCGUGCCAGCAGCCGCGGUCAUACGGAGGGUGCAAGCGUUACUCGGAAUCACUGGGCGUAAAGAGCGCGUAGGCGGGAUAGCAAGUCAGAUGUGAAAUCCUAUGGCUUAACCAUAGAACUGCAUUUGAAACUGUUAUUCUAGAGUAUGGGAGAGGUAGGUGGAAUUCUAGGUGUAGGGGUAAAAUCCGUAGAGAUAAAGAGGAAUACUCAUGGCGAAGGCGACCUGCUAGAACAUAACUGACGCUGAUGCGCGAAAGCGUGGGGAGCAAACAGGAUUAGAUACCCGUGUAGUC